rnacentral:rRNA from 17 species
UUUGUAUAAUGGGUCAGCGACUUAUAUUCAGUAGCGAGGUUAACCGUAUAGGGGAGCCGUAGAGAAAUCGAGUCCGAACAGGGCGACAGUCGCUGGGUGUAGACCCGAAACCAAGUGAUCUACCCAUGGCCAGGAUGAAGGUGCGGUAACACGCCCUGGAGGUCCGAACCCACUAAUGUUGAAAAAUUAGGGGAUGAGCUGUGGGUAGGGGUGAAAGGCUAAACAAACUUGGAAAUAGCUGGUUCUCUCCGAAAACUAUUUAGGUAGUGCCUCAAGUAUCACCAUCGGGGGUAGAGCACUGUUAUGGCUAGGGGGUCAUUGCGACUUACCAAACCAUUGCAAACUCCGAAUACCGAUGAGUGCGAGCUUGGGAGACAGACGUCGGGUGCUAACGUCCGGCGUCAAGAGGGAAACAACCCAGACCGCCAGCUAAGGUCCCAAAGAUUGGCUAAGUGGAAAACGAAGUGGGAAGGCUAAAACAGUCAGGAUGUUGGCUUAGAAGCAGCCAUCAUUUAAAGAAAGCGUAAUAGCUCAC